UACGUAGGGUGCAAGCGUUAAUCGGAAUUACUGGGCGUAAAGCGUGCGCAGGCGGUCUUGCAAGACAGAUGUGAAAUCCCCGGGCUCAACCUGGGAACUGCAUUUGUGACUGCAUGGCUGGAGUGCGGCAGAGGGGGAUGGAAUUCCGCGUGUAGCAGUGAAAUGCGUAGAUAUGCGGAGGAACACCGAUGGCGAAGGCAAUCCCCUGGGCCUGCACUGACGCUCAUGCACGAAAGCGUGGGGAGCAAACAGG
rnacentral:rRNA from 1 species